CCUACGGGUGGCAGCAGUGGGGAAUAUUGGGCAAUGGGCGAAAGCCUGACCCAGCAAAGCCGCGUGAAGGAAGAAGGCUUUCGGCUUGUAAACCUCUUUUGACAGGGAAGAGCAGAACACGGUACCUGUCGAAUAAGCCAUGGCUAACUACGUGCCACCAGCCGCGGUAAUACGUAGGUGGCAAGCGUUGUCCGGAGUUACUGGGUGUAAAGGGCGUGUAGGCGGGCAGACAAGUCAGAUGGGAAAUCCGGGGGCUCAACACCCGAACAGCAUUUGAAACUGUUGGACUUGAGUAGCGGAGAGGCAGGCGGAAUGCGUGGUGUAGCGGUGAAAUGCGUAGAUAUUAGGAGGAACACCAGUGGCGAAGGCGGCCUGCUGGACGACGACUGACGGUGAGGCGCGAAAGCGUGGGGAGCGAACAGGAUUAGAUACCCUUGUAGUC
rnacentral:rRNA from 1 species